UCGGAGGAAGUGUUGGCGUCAUAACUGUCACCUAGAUUAAAGAAAACGACCAUCACUGGCAUUGGAAAAAUCCAGAAAAAACAAAAAGGUGUUUUACAAGUAAAGAAAUACUCACAAUCUACUUCUUUCCAUCCCAACGUCAUCUUUUCACGAUUGAAGACAACGCGAUACCCACCGAAGAAGUUGUCUACGAGAAAACGAUUCACUUAAAGAGAAUUCCUAAUCUUUUUCCAAUACCAACACUACUUAAGAGGUGUUCAAAAGUGAUUCUAAAAUAGUCGUAAUCACUCUUGAACCUACUUUUAACCGUUUAAAACCAUAUAUGAUGAUAUGCAUUGUAAUUAUAAGUUAUAGGUGUAAAAAAUGAACAUGACAGAAGUAAUUUUAGACUUUUUAAAAUCACCUGCAAACAUGAGAACUAAUGGAAUAUACAAGGAGAUAAAAUGGCUUCAUAUAUUAGAUGGAGAGACAGGAGCACUCACGUCCAAUUACAUUAAUAUCAGUGCUUUUGACAAUGGCUAGACAAAGGGCAGGUCCAUCCUGAAGCCAACAGAAACCCAAUAACGCAUACAUAUAUCUUCUCUGACUCUCAUGUUAUUUCAUUUUCAUCUAAAAAAUGAAAUUACACUCACAUCAGUAUCAACGCUGACAUACGAAGUAAUGACGUCAAACUUACGUCCACCCUCCAUAGUAAAAUUCAGAUUUGGUUGUUGAAAGAUUGUUGCCAGACUGGAUCAAAAUCGAAUAUGGGAAUUGGAAUCUGAAGAUCUUUUGAAAGACACAAAAAAAAAAAUUGUUACACAAGUUACAGCUACUUACGAAAGUCGGUAGCAGUACUCAAAUGGGAAAUCAGAAUCAGAUUUGAUGCGCUCCAACUCCAUAGCUGCAUCCAUCUGCACAACAAUUAUUUAUAUAAACUAGAGAUUGCAUGGACUCAUGUGGCACUUCCUAAGAGAACUGAAACUGCAAAAAGCUUACAUUCUCAGUAAUAAUAGAAUAAAAUGGAUCAGUUAGGUAUGUAAAAGAGGCGCCAGAGUCGAUAAUUGCAGUGAGGUGAACAUUUGUGGGUCUAUUUGUCACAAUUAUCUGAAGGAUGGUGACAUUGUAGGAUAAACUGCCAACAAACAAGACAAUCUAGUUACAAAAACCAGCUUCUCCAAGAGAAAUGAAGGUCGUAGAUUAUUACUUUUGCACAUGUAAACAGUGAGAAGUUCUUACCUUGCAGGAUUGAAGGGCGUCUCUCUCUGGCCUACUGGGCCUAUGUCUCCAAAAUCGAUUCUCCCAUAACCAUAAUAUCCAAAACACAUAGAGAAUGAAUCUGUGGUUAAUCCUUGGCUUGCUAAGAAGCUUGGAACCGAUACCUUUCCCAUGCCAAGCCCAAUAAGACCAUUGGGAGCUGUGACAUUUGAGAAUUUACCAGUCUGGACCUUACCACAUCUGCCAUGAAGAACCCCAUUUAAACAAUGCAAAAACUCAGCAGACUGCACAUGAUUUCUAUAAGAUGGUAUUGUUGAGAUACAAUAAACUUACAACGUGCUAAGACUUUCAUUGAGCUCUCUCGAAGACGAAUAUCAAGACUUUUCUUGUAGCAUUGAUCAAGUUACAGUCUUACAGAAUCAAGUAUAACCAGUUUAGUACAUAGUUUCUUAAAAUACCAUUGAUUUUGUAUUUCAUUACUUUGUUAUCUUGACAGAAAACUAAAUCCAUUAAGAACUAAACGAAAUUACCCUCAAAGAAAUUUCAGCACAAGAAGAUAUAACUAAGACAGAUUCAAUGAAACUCACCCUAAAGUAACCUUCACAUCAACAGGUUUGAGUUGUGAAUCAUCGGUGGCCAUGUGCAAUAUGUCCUGUACCAAGUACCCAGCAGAUGAAGAAUUUUCAGACAGGUAAUGAGUUUGGUAAGGACAAGAACUUUUGUUCGAAGAACACUGGUUUGCAAGCUCGCACAAAGAACUGCUGCAGGGCACACGAAUGCUGGUUGAUGAAGCAUUUGAACUGUAAUGAUUCAACCAAAACUGUAGAAGAAAAACAAAAAAGAACGUACUAACUGAGAACAACCAACAUCAACUUCUAGAAUUAGCCCUAUUUUUUUCAUAGAAUACUGAGAAAGAAAAAAUACUUUUCCAUUAUCACGUUUGGUCAAGUAAGUAGGACAUUUGGUGCAUUCACAUGGUAACCAGAACAAAUCGCUUCCAGUGUCCAAAGCCACUAAGAAAUAUAGUCCCGGCGUUCCAAUUGAUACAUUGGCGUAGUACAAACUGAAAACCCCCCAAACAGUAGAAUAUAAAGUUGAUCAAUUAAAGCAAGGCAAUCAACCAAAGAGAAAAUUCAAAAUAAUCGAAAAUCAUCGUAUACUGAAAAUAGAGAGAAAUAAUUGAGGAAACCAUACUUUCCCAAACCGCUAAGUUCGUAGGUCUCGUUCCCAUAAGAGAACAUCAGUGGCGUAUCACCGUUAGUGGUAGCCAAAUUCCGGCCGUGAAGUAGCCUAUCGCGGUGGACCAUAGCUGCAUAGUAUCCAGGGGUGUGUUUCUCCGGUAACCCUUCAGAGCCGAAAAUCUCUUUAAUCGAAUCAGAAAAUCGAUGGUGAAUAGUGAACUUAAAGGAAGCGGCAUGGCCACUUCUCAGGCCGCCGGCGAGAAAGAAAACAGAAAGAACAAGAAGCAUUUGAUCACCGGAACUGAAUGUCCAGGCCAUGAACGCCGAUUAGAGGAUACCCAGGAAGGCGAUGAAGACAUGGAGUGAUUUGAGAAGAAUAAUAUAAAUGAAAUGGAAAGGGAGAUGAGGAAUUAACGGAUUCAAAGUGGAGUAACAUGAGAGUCUGUGACAAAGGCGUUGAAGUUCCGGAGAAGACGACGAAAUUUUGACAUCUGAAGAACAAAGUCAAAGGCUUCUCUUUGUUUGGAAGAAAUAUAUAUUUAAUAUAAUAAUUUUGGAAUUUAUAACGAGGGGUUCAUGCAGAGAUGUUGUGAUUAAUUAAAUAAAUUAAAAUAAUGAUAUUAUGAUGAUAAAUUAAAGCUUAGAUGAUUACUUUCAUGUUUGUUUAUUUACUAACUAAACUUUCAAUCUACCCAAUAAAUUAUGAUUUUUUAUCUAGAUGGAAAAUUUAUUACUAUUUUCAACCAAACUAUUCCUCCAUUUUUAAUUAUUAGGUAUAUUUUUAAAUGCACCAAACUCAAUUAAAAUAUUUUUAAAAAAAUAGUAAAAUAUUUUGUAUCUAUCUUAAAUAGAUGAAUUUUUAUUAGUGUCUAUUAAAAUUUAUUAUCAUAAAAUUUGAACAUUUUGGUAUAUGUUAGAAAGAUGGUUGUUAAAUUUGUUAUUUUUAACCAUUCUUUUUUUAAAAAAAAAAAUUAAUUAAAAUAGUUACUAAGGAUAGCAAAAGUGAAUUGGAAUCAAUAUGCUAUUUAUAAAAAAAAGAAUACUUAAAGGAUUAGAUAAUUAAGUUAAUUUAUUUAGUUAGAAAAAGAGGGUAGCAAAUGUAACUAUGGUGUUAUUAAAUAUAAUAAUAUUUCUAUAAUUUAUAAAAAAUAUUGGUCUACAUUUUUAGGUUUAUUUAGUUAGUUAAUUCUUGUCUAUUUUCUUUUAUUUGACCUUUCUUUAUGAAAUGUUGUAUAUUUUCUUCUUUCCUUUAGGUGAAAUUAUUUCACCUUUAUGCCUUAGUUGAAAUAUUAGAUUUUGUACUUUUUCUUUUAUUCAUUUGGUACAUUUUCGGUAGAACGAAUGUAUAAUUUGUCUGAUUAGAUGGUUCAAAAUAAUAACUCUAUGCUUGACUCUUUUAUAUAUGUGACGUUCUUAUUCUUCUAGUUUUUAUUUUGUUUGGUUUUGUUAUUUGGUACAACUUUUAUAUAUAAUUAAAAGUUUCCAUGAGCAACUCCUUUCUAGUUUCUAAUUCACUGUUAUAACUAUUAGUUUCAGUAGUUUUUGCUUUUACUCAUUUGGUCAUAUGUUUCAUUUCUUUUGGAAGCGGAUGUGUAAUUUUUCGUUGGAUGGUUUAAAAUAUUUAACUCCUUUGUCUCUUUGUGAAAUUCUUUUUCUUCUAGAUUUUUUGGGAGUAAUUAUAAUUUAUGACAAUUUUAAGAACAAUAAUUAAGUAUAUUGCUACGCUCUUACACUAUUUUCGAAAAUAGUGGAUUGUAUUUUGUGUAUUGAUGGGUUUUUCUUUCUUUUCUUCUUCGCUGUUUUUUUCUUUUCUUUCAUUUCAUCUCUUGUUAGAGGUUUAAUCUAAUCAUACUAAAAAUUAUACGUAUGUUAUUUUAAAAAAAUGCAUAUCAUACACUUUCUUGGAUUUUAGGUACCCUAGCUAUAGAUACAAAAAUAUUGAAAGUUUGAAAAUUAUUCAACACAAUCAUUUGAUUUACGAAUUGUGGUCUUAUUUGAAAACCGAAGAGUUUACUGCAUGCAAAAAAUGAAAGAUCCUUUUACUUCAUAACAUAAAAUUUCACCAUUUUUCAAAAUGAAAAGAACAUACAACUUACAACUUCUCCAUUGCAAAAAAAAUGGCAGAUUGAACAUUUAAUAUUGAAAUUUAUUUUUUUAUUCUCAAUGUAAAACUCCUCCAUUUUCUUUAUUAAAAAAAACCUUUAAAUUAUCCACAUCACGAGAAAAAAACCAAAGUGUUCUUUAAACGAAACAAUCAUAAAAAGUAAGGUGGUGAAGCUAGGUACUUAGUACAUGACUUUACUAAAGGGUCCACGUUAGUUUUCGAGUAUUUAUAAGCUAUUUUAAUUUAAAAGUUUAUUUUAACUAACAUAAUCAGAUUGAGAAAUCGUUCACUUUUAUAUUAAUAGUAUAAUAUUAUAUUAGGUAAGUUUAGUUAUAUGUAUAUUGUUAUCAUUUUAUUAGCUUGCUGACAUGUUUUAUGAAUACCUUUUUAGUUAGUAUUAUUCAUAAUAAAACGUUUUUAAACUAAUAGUUUUAUAUCUUCGUCCUCCUUUCAAAAUAUUUACACCUUUGGUUUCUAAAUUUAGAUUUCAUAUUUUAUUUAUUUAAAAUUCAAAAGUAUGUAAUUUACCUUUUUAAUAAUUCUAUUAAUUUUGAACAUCAACCAUUUUCAUUCAAGUUUUUAAAAACGGGUGAGAAUUCAUCCAUUUUCAAAAUGUACAUUUUGUAGCUCAAAUCAUCUAUUCUUCCCAAUUGAAUGGAUCAUUUAAAGGAAAAGAAAAAUAAAAUAAAAAAGGAAAACUUGGUUGUGUCAAACACGUGGCCCAACCCAAGGCAUCACAUCACAUGUCACAAUUUACAAAAUUUACAAAAUCUAAGAUCCCAAUCAAUUUUAUUACCACGUAAUAAAACAUUGCAUUGAAGUUUAUAAUUGAUUAACCAUACUACCAAUAAAAUUAACUCACAAAUUUAGAGCUAACUAAUUUGAAUAACAUUGAUUUACAAAAUCCGAAUAGACAUCGAUUUACAAAACCCAAAUAGAAAGAAAAAUGCAAUAAAAACUAUUUCAAUUUUAGAUUAUUAUUUCACGAAAAAAAAUACACCAAAUAAAUGAGAACCAAACAACGAAACCGAGAGAGUAAUAAUAAUCAAAGUCAAACAAGAGCCAAAAUUGCAAGAACCGCACCAAAUACAAACCCCAAUGGGUUCAACUGCGCUGCACCCCCAAGUCCCGGCAAACCGGGGCGUCCUCCUGGGGUAGACGGUGCCGGAGGAGAGUCGCCGGACGGAGGCGAGUCAUCGGAUGGGGGAGAGUCUUCGGACGGGGGAGAGUCUUCGGACGGAGGCGAGUCUUCGGACGGAGGCGAGUCAUCGGACGGCGGAGUGUCGUCAGUUGGAGGGGAGUCGGAUGGUGGGGAAUCAGUCGGAGGGGAGACGGAUGGUGGGGAAUCAGUCGGAGGGGAGUCGGAGGGAGAAUCAGCCGGAGGGGUAUCGCCGGAGGGAGUGCCGACGCCAUUGUCGUAACCUGGAGUUAAGAAAACAAUUUUCAUUGACAUUGAAAAAAAAGGACUAGUAGAAGAAAGAAGAGUUUUCAGGUGAAAUAAUACUCACAGUCUGAAGAACUCCAUCCCAACACCAUCUGAUCACGAUUGAAGGUAAUACGAUAACCAGUCAUGAAGUUUUCUGCAAGAAGACGUAAAGGAAAGAUCAUUAGAUCAUAAGCACGAACUCAAUCUCGAUUUCGAAGGUUGGAUUUUAGUUCAUAUAGUUUGAUUAAAAAUCACUAUUUUUUUUUAAAAAAAAUUAUAGGGAUCAAAUUUGUAAUUCAUGAAGGGAGGACUCAC
rnacentral:lncRNA from 1 species